GUUCCAGUCAGCCAUGGCCAGUGGAUAGAAACACACACUACAGAACAUGGCAGCCACGCUGAGGAAGUACCUUUCACCAUGUGGUAGACACUCAGAGACUGCUCUGAAAAGAGAGAAGAGAAAGAAAGAGAACUCCUUGAACUUGAAAACAGACCAUCAAUGGAUACAGGUUAAGAUUAAGCUGUUUCUUUCAUGUGAGUCUCAUCACUGAGAUCUGAUUCCACCUACAAAGGUUGCCUCUAGGGCUUUAGAUUGAGAUGUUAUCAUGGACUGAACUGUGUCCCUGCAAAAUUCAUACGUUGAAGCCCCAGCUCCCAGUGUGGCUGUAGUUGGAGAUAAGACUUUUUUAAGGAGGUAAUCAAGCUUAAAUGAAGUCAUAAAGGUGGAGCUCUAAUCCAACAGGGUCGAUGCCCUCAUAAGAAGAGGAAGAGACAUCAAGAGUGCACAUGCACAGAGAAAAGGCCAUGUGAAGUCACAAGAAGAUGGCUGUCUGCAGGCAAAGGGGAGAGGCCUCACCAGAGACUAAUCCUGCCAGCACCAUAAUCUUCAACUUCCAGUCUCCAGAACUUUAAGAAAAUAAAUUUAUGUUGUUUGAGCCCAUCAAUCUUGUACUUUGUUGUAGUAGCCUGAGCAGAGGAAUUCAUCUGGAUUGACUUCUUGUUGGUCUGGUGUUUAUUGUAUUCUGCCUGAAAUGGGUUGCAGACUUACCAAAUGUGACAGAUCUUGUACCAUGUACAUGUACACAGCUAAGUGUUCUUGAGAGGGCACUUUCUAAAAGACUUUAUACUCAGCUUAUUAGAGAGGAU
rnacentral:lncRNA from 10 species